UGAGUGGCGGACGGGUGAGUAACGCGUGGGUAACCUGCCUCAUACAGGGGGAUAACAGUUAGAAAUGACUGCUAAUACCGCAUAAGCGCACAGUGCUGCAUGGCACAGUGUGAAAAACUCCGGUGGUAUGAGAUGGACCCGCGUCUGAUUAGCUAGUUGGUGGGGUAACGGCCUACCAAGGCGACGAUCAGUAGCCGGCCUGAGAGGGUGAACGGCCACAUUGGGACUGAGACACGGCCCAAACUCCUACGGGAGGCAGCAGUGGGGAAUAUUGCACAAUGGGGGAAACCCUGAUGCAGCGACGCCGCGUGAGCGAAGAAGUAUUUCGGUAUGUAAAGCUCU
rnacentral:rRNA from 1 species